rnacentral:rRNA from 1 species
UUUUUUAGGAGGGUAUCGAGUUUAAGCACAAGAUCGAGUAAAACGACGCUAAAAGUUAGAGGAACGAGUUUCGAGGUAAGUGUUUUGACGAAACCCCCUAACAAGAAGCCUUUUAUAUGGUUCCACCAAGGAGUUCCUUCGUUCCUGGUUCCGAGCCCUAUGCACUCGGCCUGCUACUUGGUGGCUCCCUUCGAGUUCAUGCCGGAACACUUACUGGCAGUCUCCUAAAAUACGAGGUUCGUCCGUAGUUCCUACUUAAACUGCGCAUACACGUAUUACGACUAGAACUUCUGAAGCACAGUCUAUUCACGAGUGUUGUGAUGAUGGAUUGACUAAGGAAACACUCUUCCAAAUUUAAAUGUAGGAGCGCGAUAAGAGUGUGAUAAAAUAAACUAGAAAUACUAUUUAGUAUAUGGUACCUGGAUCUUCUAAAAUUAUGACGAACAUUUGAGGGCGUCACCCCGUUACAAUCACUUGGAGCGUUUAGACUUAUAUUUCUGAAAGAACGAUCAUAGUGACACCCCCUUAGAUCUCUUUAGUGUGUUCGAUGGUAUCCCCGGUAAGUAAAGGGAACGUAAGUAAUAAAACGAGAGAAAUAUCCAUCUACGUAAUUGACAUUUCUACUCCGAACAGUGUGCACGAAGGUCUAGCAUCACAGGAGUUCUCACGUCAUAAUCCACUAUUUGUUAUAUUGAACCCCCGGUAACAACGUGCUUCCAACGUAGAAUUGUCAUAUUCACUUCUAAACAAACCACCUUAAAUACGUUGGGCACAUCGAUUAAUAGAAUUACAUGGGUAUGUACAUUUACUAUACCUUAAUGGAGGACGAAUAGAUCUAAUAUUACGAUACCAAGUGGUAGUCAAACAACUAUCCUGCUUGUCGGAGAAGUCAUGGCUGAUUAGAAGCUGUCUGCAGCGUGACAGGUACAACGAGAGGGACGAGGAUGAAAGAAACUGAAAGUCCGUUUUUCCUCUAUACAAUAUUGAUCCUUCCUCCGCUUGCUCAUGCUCUCCUCCUGCCUCCGUCGAGCGGAGGUUCGACGUCGGGCAGUCCGUCAUCGGCGACGUACAGUCAUACUGGGGUCGAUGCUAAAACCUAUAGGCAGUCCGGUCGCAACCGGUAUCUGGUUGAAUCCGGUUUUCGGAUUCGAACCCCCUCAUGAGAACUCUUAAGCCUCCUCCUUGGGCGGAACGUUACGGCUUCUGUUAGACGCGCGGCCUGAGUAGCAGUAACUUCGGACCAAGUCCCCGAUGACUCCCUCAGGAUCUAAUCCCCCAGGAGCCUGUCGGCCUGAUAUACGAAUACGGCCCGACAACAUGAUACUUCUAUGUUCUAACUUCUGAAGCAGAGCACAGGCCCUCCCUGAGAGGAAACGCACCUUCCGUUCGAACCGUUGAACCUAUACAUCUAAGGGAAGAGACAUUGGCUGAGACACAUUGGGAUCGGGGGGGCCACAGAUAUAUUUGGCCUCCUGUUGUUGUUUGUAUUAGUAUCCCAUCGAAGAUCCCAAAUCGGAGAUGCUAGAGUACCAUCUAGUUGAGAACAUUAUGAGUAUAGUAGUUCUAGUUAGUUCGUCCUUCAUCCGAUAAUGGAGGUAUCUCUCCCGAGCUUGGACCCAUUUG